AUAUCUUAGGUAAACGCGGCAUACUUGAUAUGUUGAGGAAAGUCCAUGCUCGCACAAUCUGUGAUGGUUGUAGUGUUCGUGCUAGAGGAGAAAGUAACUCUAGGUAAGUAUUACUUAACGGCUCCGAGGUAACCUCAAAUGGUUAUAGUAGGUAUAAAAGUGCCAAAGAGACGAGCUGUCUUGGAAACUUGACAGGUGGAACGUGGUAAACCCCGCGAGCGAGAAAUCCAAAUUUGGUAGGAGAGUCUUUGGAAACGAAUAAGAAGGGACCAAAGGACACGUAAGUGUAGAUAAAUGUUUACCAUUCCUUUUAGGAAUACAAAACAUGGCUUAUUAGA
rnacentral:RNase_P_RNA from 1 species